UCCCUUCUCACAUUCCUAUCUCCCAAAUUUCCAGAUUAGGGAUUCUCGAAUGAGACGAGAACAGCGGCGGUUCUCCCUCCUCCCUUGCGACCUCUCCGGUGGAUCGCCAUCUCCGGCUUCGCCAGAGUUUGUCCACUCCUCCGCUGAAUCUCCUUCUUCCCUUUUCUUUCUCUCUAUCUCUUAACUCCAAAACGAAUCCAUAAAUUCAAAGUCAAAGGCGGCGGCUUUUCCCUCUCCGGCGAAAUCGCCACUUUUCGACGGGGAUCUCGGGGUCCCGCCGACGCGUACGCCCUCCGUCACGCUUCUCUCUCUGUCACUCGGCGAGCUCACAGCACUGCCGCUGCCGACGUCACUCGCCGUCCGCCGCUCCUCUGCGUCGCCGGCUCUCCGUCGCUGCUGCCAGCGCUCUGCAUCGGUUCUCGCCGUCGAGCCCUCCAAGAGGCAACGACCCCAGCCCUUUCUCGACCUUCCCGAGACGGCGCCGACACCAGCCGCCGCCUUACUCUGCUGCCCCGGCAGCGUCUCCGCUCAGCCGGGCCUCCCGGAGCUCGUCGCUGCCCGUCCGUCGCUCACGCCUCCGUCGCCUCCCACUCGCGACGGCAGGCACGUCAUCGCGGCUGCCGAAGUCCGCCACGCACGCUGCUCUCUUUCCUUUCGGCGUCCAGCGGCGCCGACCUCAUCCCGGCUGCUCAACGAGCAGAGUCGCCGCUCCUCUCGGUUCUCCGGUGUUUCCGUCGCCGCUCGACCAUCGCCGGCAGGUCGGCCGAGUACUCCUCACUCCAAAGCUAAGUCCCCAAAUCCCUUAGCCCCUUUUUAGUUUAGAAUUACUAAAGCUUUGAUCUUGGGCAAACUGUUAUUGUUGAUUCAUCACUUGAUAUGGGGAGUCUAUUUGCAUUUGAGAGGGAUUUGAGAAAGAAUGUAGCUACUGGAAUAACUUUUAUUGUUAUGAGUUCUGUUUCUAAGUUUCAUUUAGAGCUGCUAUGAUUCUAAGUUCUUGUUUACCUACUGUGCUAGCUCUAUAUGAUGCAAGAUUAUUGGGUGUUUGAGGUUGUUUACCUCACUUGCUGAACUUGUAUCGGUGGUGGCGGUCUCUCGCCUUCGCCGCCGCUUCCUCUCCUCUCCGUCGCCCCGCGCUUAGUGUCGUGAGUGGGUGGUGGAGGUGAAGGGGAAGGUGGCUCUUAUAUGGUGCUAAUCUAUUGGAAGCUAGGUUUGAGACUUGGAGCCAAAGGCUCCUAUUUUGGGCUUGUUAGCUCUCUCACUUUCGAGCUUGAUGAUUGUGAGAUUCUUGCCGUUUUGGUGAUGGUGGCUGAUCUUCUUGGCUGAUUUCUCGGCCUUGAUCGACGGGGAGAUGAGAGUUUGUCUCAUCUUCUACUUUUGGGCUUGUGUACAUGGAGGCAUUCUUGAAGCUUGUGGAGGGAAGCAAAAAUCGAGAUUAAGAAAGAGAGGGAAAGAAAGGAGAUGCUCCUCUUGAGCUCAUUUGGUUCUAUUCCCAAUUUAGUUUGCUUCCAAACUCGAGAAUUUAAAGAAGUAGGAUAGAUAGUGUAGAAUAGGUGCAUGUUGAUUUUAUCACACUUGCAGGCAUGUACUAUUUCCAUCAUCCAUGUAUUUCUAUUUCUUCACGGUGUAUCCACAUUUCUCUAAUAAAAGUAUUUUCUCCACUUUUA